rnacentral:rRNA from 1 species
CCAACCUGGUUGAUCCUGCCAGUAGUCAUAUGCUUGUCUCAAAGAUUAAGCCAUGCAUGUCUAAGUAUAAAUAACUACACAGUAAAACUGCGAAUGGCUCAUUAAAACAGUUAUAGUUUAUUUGAUACAUUAUAAAUGGAUAACUGUAGAAACACUAGAGCUAAUACAUGCCAAGACCGUAAGGUUGUAUUUAU